rnacentral:tRNA from 1 species
GACCGCAUGGCCUAAUGGGAUAUGGCGUCCGACUGCGAAUCAGAAGAUUGAGGGUUCGAGUCCCUAUGUGGUCU